CCAGCUCGGCCCCGCCCCCACCGGCGCGCCACGCGACCUCACCCAACUGCAGCGGCGGAGAAUCGGGUCCAACUGCGAGCGCUAGCACCCGAAGUCAUUCCACCUGCUCACCUGUCGCUUCUUCAUCAAAACAAGCAAAAGCAUUUCUGAUGACAUCUUCUGGAUCUGUGC